GUUUGUGUGAAGUGAAAAAUAUGCGUUUUGCGGGUCUCCAGGAUAUUUGUGUGGACUUUGCGAGGGUGGUACAGGUUCUUCAUCACCCGAGAAAUUCGGAGAUAUAACCGACUUCACCAAUAGAGUCUCUACACUUCCACUACUUUUCUCUACAUUUCCAUCUCCGCAGAUGGAAGGCGGAGGAAAGUGGAGUUUAAGGAGAGAGAAGCUGUGUCUGGUAGUCGCUUAUCUUUUGCCGGGUAGGCACUCACUCAUCUUUGUAUUGUGUAUUGUCUCUAAGUGUAUCAACAUGUAUUGUCAUGGGGCCAGAUACACUGCCACGUCCACGUCGUUAGCCCUGGUGACCCAAAAGAGUGGUGAGUUGGUGUAUUUAACUGUUCUACUUAAAUAAAUACACUUGGGACCAUACGUGAAUGUAAAUAAAAGCAGGAUAAACAAGAUAGUGUGAGAUUAGUGGUACAAUUUGGACCUGGAUUGGGACCAGAGUGUUGGUGUGAAUCUACUAAAUAAAUAUCACAUUUUUUUCUACAUUAAUGCAUUUUAAAUAGUGCAGAAUGCAUUGUUUUUUCUUUAAGAAUUUUCGAUCAUUUUACGAUUGCGACUAAUAUUUUUCAAAUAUAGAUAUACCAUAUAGAAUACCAAUAUUUUCAGAAACAACUUUUAUUUUUUAAUUAUACUCUUAUAUUGAUGUACGUAUGACGCGUAUUAAAAUGAAGAUUGAAAAUGACAAUUCGUCUAGGGGUUUACUCAAAAUUUAAAUAGUGCAGAUCGCUAUGUUGGAAUUCAUUAAAUAAUCAGGAAUUUGAUUCCGAUCUUUAUGGAGUUUGAUGAAGCAUUGUCGUGAAUUUUUAGGUUUAAUUGAAUAAAUUUUGGUGAUUUCUCUAACAAUCAGAGAGAAACCGAUUUUUAGUGAUAAGGAAAGAUUAGUAAUGUGCCAUAUCUCGCGUACGAACAAUUCAAUUUUCACUGCAUUCAGUCACAAUCAAUUGAGUUGAUUUUUAGGGCAUGAUUUUAUUCUUCUAGAUUACGAUUUUUUUUUGCUGGCAAAAAUUAUACUUUUUUAAUUACGAAUAUUUCCACAACUAUACGACAAAUUGAAUUCUAAUUCGUGUCAUUGAAUAGUUUGAUAUCUAGGAAAAAAACACGCAAUUCAAUAUAUUGCGUGAAGUAAAUUUUCAAACACAAACAAUUUUGAAACAUUGAACAACACCAAAAAUGUUUAGAUAUACUGACACAAAAAAUUGGCAUUCAAAAAUUUCAACAAUGACGAAUUUCCACUCGAAAAUCAAUUUGCAAUUGAAAAAACUCUUGGAAUAUCAGUUUUACCCAAGCUACACAGUAGAUUCUAAAACAGUUGAAAUGUAUUAAAAAAAUCAGUGAAAUCCCGGAAUUGUCGAGGUCAUCAGGUCACCUCAGCCACAAAAAUAAACUAACUGGACCAAAAAUGAGGGUUCACAAGCGAGCAAACAGAAUUUUCGCCUGCUACAGAUUAAUAAAAUAAAAAAAAAGAAGAAAUUCGAAAUUUGCGAUCAAUACCGAGAAAACCCAUUCACAAAGAUCGUG